rnacentral:rRNA from 1 species
AGCAGCCGCGGUAAUUCCAGCUCCAAUAGCGUAUAUUAAAGUUGUUGCAGUUAAAAAGCUCGUAGUUGAAUUUCGGGAUCAGUACGCUGGUCAUGCCUUUGGUAUGCACUGGUGUCACUGGUUUCUCCCUUCUGAAGAUCCGUGAUGUCAUUAAUUUGGUGUCGCGGGGAAUCAGGACUGUUACUUUGAAAAAUUAGAGUGUUUAAAGCAGGCUCACGCUUGAAUACAUUAGCAUGGAAUAAUGAAAUAGGACGUUUGACCCUAUUUUGUUGGUUUCUAGGAUCGACGUAAUGAUUAAUAGGGAUAGUUGGGGGCAUUAGUAUUCAAUUGUCAGAGGUGAAAUUCUUGGAUUUAUUGAAGACUAACUACUGCGAAAGCAUUUGCCAAGGAUGUUUUCAUUAAUCAAGAACGAAAGUUAGGGGAUCGAAGACGAUCAGAUACCGUCGUAGUCUUAACCAUAAACUAUGCCGACUAGGGAUCGGAUGAUGUUAAUUUUAUAAUGA